rnacentral:rRNA from 1 species
CCUACGGGGUGCUGCAGUGGGGAAUAUUGGACAAUGGGCGAAAGCCUGAUCCAGCCAUGCCGCGUGUGUGAAGAAGGCCUUCGGGUUGUAAAGCACUUUCAGUGGGGAAGAAAGCCUUGGGGCUAAUACCCUCGAGGAAGGACAUCACCCACAGAAGAAGCACCGGCUAACUCCGUGCCAGCAGCCGCGGUAAUACGGAGGGUGCGAGCGUUAAUCGGAAUUACUGGGCGUAAAGCGCGCGUAGGCGGUCUGAUAAGCCGGUUGUGAAAGCCCCGGGCUCAACCUGGGAACGGCAUCCAGAACUGUCAGGCUAGAGUGCAGGAGAGGAAGGUAGAAUUCCCGGUGUAGCGGUGAAAUGCGUAGAGAUCGGGAGGAAUACCAGUGGCGAAGGCGGCCUUCUGGACUGACACUGACGCUGAGGUGCGAAAGCGUGGGUAGCAAACAGGAUUAGAUACCCCGGUAGUC